rnacentral:lncRNA from 1 species
CAACUCCAGGGCAUUCAGUGAGUGCUGCAAGCAAGAGAAACCUUCCCUACCCCUCCUGAAAAAUGCUGGGGUGCCUGUGCAGCAUCCAAGGAUUGACUGCAGCUUGCAAAGACUGAAGAUCUAUUUGUAGAAAUCUGCCCACAAAACUGCAAAUAAUGGUACCCAGGUUGAGGAUCAUUCCAUGGACAGCAGCACCAUCCAGCAGAGCACUGGAUCUGAAGUUAGGUGAGGUGAAUGCCCCCUAAGAGCACGACAAGAAGUCCAUUUGCUGGAAUUAGGAGACUCACCCUGGAAAGGAAGG